ACGUCCUCUGUCUCACCAACAGACACAGACAUAUACACUUCUAGGCCAGGAAAGCGCUAACCAGGGCCCUGUGACUCUACGCAGGUUCCAGAACACGCCUUCUACAUUUGUUACUGAACCGAUCAGCGAACACAGACAAACGUGCCAACACUUAAGUCUACUGGCUGGACUUCAUCUCCAUGGCAACAAGCAUGGAAGGCGAAGAGUUGAUUCCAGAAGGAACUGUGAAGAGCCACAACAAUGUGCCAGUGAAUAAUGAGUAGUACCUACUGUGGCAACUCUUCAGCUAAGAUGAGUGUCAACGAAGUAUCAGCUUUCUCAUUGACUCUGGAGCAAAAAACUGGCUUUGCUUUUGUUGGGAUUUUGUGUAUCUUCUUGGGACUUCUUAUUAUCCGAUGCUUCAAAAUCCUGCUAGACCCAUAUAGUAGCAUGCCUUCCUCUACAUGGGAAGAUGAAGUUGAAGAGUUUGAUAAAGGGACAUUUGAAUAUGCACUCGCGUGAGAGUUCCAGCUAUAUGGUUUUUAUGGUUGUGCCAUCGGGACACAUUCUGGAUACAAUUGUAACUACCUUGAGGGUGUGGGAGAGAGGCUCAUUUUGUUCAGUGAAUUCAAUAAACAUCUGUGACUAAUUUCUUCACCAUGCUGUGUAAAUGAUAAACUAUUGUUGGGAUUCCUCACUUUCCUCUGUUCCCACUUAGAGGUUUCCAAUGAAUAGAGCAUAAGGAUGGCUGCAGCCAUGUUUACCAUCUUUAUUCUUAUCUUGAACAACUGCCUUGAAUUUCUGCUUCCUUUCUUGAGCUAAUAAACUGUGCUAAAGGCAUCUUGCUCUCUCCCCUCUGCAAAGCCCAGGCAUCCCCUCCACAUUCCUGACUCAGACCCCUUUAGCUUUAGUGAGUCAGGUCUUAAACAGAGAAUUUAGUCCAAAGAAUAAUCAAAAUAUUAUUUGUCUAAUAAUAACCAUAGGCCCAAAAGUUUCACAGGUGAAAAAAUAUCUCAAAAAUCUAACACCCAAAGCCUAC
rnacentral:lncRNA from 1 species